AGUAAACCCAGUAUAUAACAAUUAUAUCGGUGUGUGUGCCAAUGAUAUGCUCAUAAGAGUAUACGACAGACGGAUGUUAGGUUUAUACAAAAAAACUGAAAAAAUGAAUUUGAGCAGUAGUAUUCAAUCAGAUACAUAUUAUCCUAAACAUUUAUGGAAUUAUUAUGAUGAAGAAGAUGAUAAGAAGUUAAAUAACAUUUCGUUAUUUUGUACACAUUUAGCAUGGUCAAAUAGUGGUAAAUACUUGGGAGUUACAUAUAAUAAUGAGCAUGUAUAUGUGUUUGAUUUUUUGAAUAAAGAAGCUGAAAAAUGUUUGAGUUAUAAUAUUGUUGAUAAUAAAUCAUCCUUUGAUUAUUCCAAAAAAUAUGAUAUAUUAUUUCCACCAUGUUAUAAUGAAAACAAUUUGUAUACAAAUAAAAGUAGUAGUUCACUAGAAGAUAAUUUGAAUUAUAAACAUGAGUUAUCUUUAAUUCGAGCAAUAGAAAAACUAGCUGCUGAAUCGUAUGAAAAAAAACGUUAUUUUGAGGCUGAAUAUUUAUAUAAUGAAUGUUUAAAUAUGGUUACUAAUAAAGAUAUUAAGAAGGUUCUUUUUUGUAAUUUGGCUAUUACAUUAAUUCAAAGAAAAGCAAAAAACGAUGCAUAUUUGGCUGAACAAUAUGCAUUAGAAGCUCUAAAAUUAGACCCAUAUUAUUACAAAGCUAUAUACAGAAGAAUUCAAGCCAAUAUCGUUAAUAAAAAAUUAAUUAAUGCUUAUAGAAUCACGCUAUCUGCAUGUAAACAUUAUAAAGAGGUUAUGGAAUUUUGUUAUUUAAAAAAAAAACUAAAAAAAAAACUAUAUGAGUUGUAUAAAGAUAAAAUUAGCUCCAUUAGGCAAUUACAUACCAACGAAACAAACAGAAAAACAACAUAUGAAGAAGAGGGAUUUUAUGAUGGCAAUAGUAAUCAAUAUACAUUCAUCAGAAAUGGGAAGGACGAAGAUAGAAUAACGCGAGGUAGUCGUAUUUACAUGCAGGACUAUGAAACCCGGAACACUGAAGAAGGUUUAAUCAACAAAAAGGAAAUUUUUAAAAUGGAAAAAAGGGAAAA
rnacentral:lncRNA from 1 species